rnacentral:rRNA from 1 species
UACGGGGGGGCAAGCGUUGUUCGGAAUUACUGGGCGUAAAGGGCUCGUAGGCGGCCAACUAAGUCAGACGUGAAAUCCCUCGGCUUAACCGGGAACUGCGUCUGAUACUGGAUGGCUUGAGAUUGGGAGAGGGAUGCGGAAUUCCUGGUGUAGCGGUGAAAUGCGCAGAUAUCAGGAAGAACACCCGUGGCUAAGGCGGCUCUCUAGUACGGUACUGACGCUGAGACGCGAAAGCGUGGGGAGCGAACAGG